rnacentral:lncRNA from 10 species
AUAUGAUUCACCCUUCACAAUAUUUAUUUUUGAGGAUAAAAGAAAAUAAUGUUAGUCUUAUGUGUUAAUCAUAAAAAAUACAUGCUUAAUGACAGGAAAACAGCAAGUCAUUUUUUCUAGUUCUUUAAAAAUAUUUUAAUCGUGCAAAAUCACCAUAAUGUACUCUAGCACAAUGCUAAAAUGUUAUCUAAGAUGGAGUGGCUUUUAUUAGUUUUACAGGAUGUAUAUUUGGCAAUAGUUCUUAAAAAUAAUUACUCAAAAGGAACUCUAACUCUAUUAUUUUAGAAACAAUAUUUUAAAAUACAGCAGUAAGCAACAAAAACUAUUGCUCUUUAUACAUUUUUGGCAUAACACUGCCAUACGGUUACAGAAUUAUAAAAUAAGUAUUUUAUAGUACCAUACAGAUCCAGAAACUGGUUACAACUUCUACCACAUACACAUGGUAUUGGUACUAACGAACAUGCACAGCAUUCUGUAAUUCAUACUGCAGUUGAAUACAGAGCACAGAGAAGGCCCAGUGGCCACUGGAGAAUCAGAGCUUAUGUUAUAAGUAAAACACACAUCUUUGUAACAAUCGUAGGCAUUUUCCUGAAAUAUUUAAAAUACAAGGGACACAAUAGUUUCCAAAAUGACAUAAUCUACCAUCCUUCUUAGAUAAUACUAAAAAAGAAAGAUUACCUUACAUAGGAAACAACUUAAAGCCCUUUUUAAAAACAGGAGGAAAAUGCUUGUCAAAGGACCUAACAUUUUGCUCUCAUUUGUUUCUCACAAUUAUAAUGCCACACAAUUAAUAUGCUGUCAACUCUUGACAGUGUGGAAGUUACUUCACUCACAAACCACCUAUCACUGAGUCUUUCUCUUAUCUGCAGCCAGACCAUCAACUUAACUUGUAAAACUACCAACUGUUGCUACACACAGGCAAAGGAAUUAAACUUGGUAGCUGAUCAUUUGAUUACAUCUAUCAGUCUACUGGAGGGCUUCAACGCAGAGUAGGUGGAAUUCAUGGUUCAAAUCAGAGUAUUAAUGGGAUCUGUUUGCACACCAAUACCUGAUCUCCUUGGCACAAAUACAGAGCUGAUUCUUAAAGCAUGUCCCCACAAUAAAGCUUUUCUUAAUCAUUCGUCACCUGCUUCCAAUAAUUCUGGCACUUACACAAACUUAUCAAGGGUUAUGUCUUUAUUUCUGUGGUGAGUUUCCUGUUGCUGUUUCUAGACUUUUAUUUCAUUUGUAUUUUAUUUUUCUUCACAUGAAACAAAAUCUGUUAGCACUGGGAAAGAAAAGUUCAUUUGACUAAUGAGUGUAGAAUGUAAAUGUUUCUUAGUACCAAAACUUAUUAUAUAUCUAAUUUUUCUAGUUAACGUAAAUUGUUACACAAAGUAUAAUUUAAAAAGUAAAACUAUGACAAACCCUAAAGCUUAAAUAUUUUUAGAGAAAAAGGUAUUUUAGCACAGUAAGUGACCACUACUGCCUUUUCUCUGAAUCAUUUUAUAAAGAGAUUUUAUAUUAAUAUACAGCUGUGAAUGAACAACUUCCCUAAUUUUUUAAUUAAAUAAAUAGGAGUGAGGGAAAAAAACUCAUAUUUCAAUGAUUCCCAAGAUCGUUAAGAUAUAACUACAAUUUACUAAUGCCCAACUGCUCACAGUUUUCUAAACAACUACAAAAUAAAUAAAUUGUAGCAGGUAUUUUAUGAGAACUGAUACCCAUCAAAAUUGUGUAUGGAGUCCAUGAUGGCCUAUCCUCCCCAGAAGUCAGAGCUCACAGUGCCCAACACCCUCAUUAUCCAGAGGAGAAUCUGAGGACCCAUCAUGCCAGUGGAGAAGGCUGGAGCCCAGCACUGGCGCCACUUUCCUGAGAUGCCCACACUGAUUCUUGUCCCUUCUCCCUCUCUGAACUCUACUUCCAGCCAGUUUGGGUCAUAACACAAAACAUUUAAUUGUAUUCUCUACAUGAAAACUUUAGUUCAGGAAAAUAAACAUAUUAAGAGGUUAUUUCCCUCAAAUAACUGAAACAAUAAACUUCACAACAGAAUAGGAAAAAAAAUGACAAAGAACACUCUCUGUAGUCUAGGAAAAAUGCAAGAACAGUGCUUUUAAAAUGAUUCUAAUGAGACUACAGCAUAAAAGUUUUUCAAAUUAGUUUCAGAUUUCUCCAACUGCCUACUGGAAUUAAACUUUUAAUAAUUUCUCUAACAUAAUUCUAUUUCUGCAUCCGCCUACAUCUAAGAAGAAGCAAAACAUAAAUAUUAUUUGUAGUAACUAAGGAACGUUUAAAAUGAAAAUUAUAGUAUGUAGCUAAACUACAAAAAGCAUAAAUAAAUAUAACAGACAGUAUAGUUAGUCUUUCUUACUCUAAACACGUUUUGUCAAAUGUAACACAUUGUUGAAUAUCAUGGUGAGUACACUUCUUGAUAAACUGAUGCUAUUGUCCCAAACAGCAACUUCUCCAAAAUGAUAAAGCACCACCUAAAUUUCAUUAAAAGAACUGAUAUUCAUGGUUUAGAAAGUUCCCAAUGAUGAGAUUUUAUAAUGUAAUAAAAAUGUAAACUUCUGAAUGAAAACCAUUUACAUUUGUUAAGGCACAUCUGGAUACCUCCAGACAUUCAUAUUUAUAGCUAUAUUAUUAUUCAUUUCAAUAAUAAGGGAUUUCUAAAAACACAUUCUGUCCCUGAACACAAUCUGCUGGGUGUGUUGGAUAACUAGAAUGCAGAAGGAGCAGGGUAGUACUCACUGUCACCCUAGAGAUUAGCCACACAAAUAUGUUCCUGUAAUAAACAGUACAAAACUCAAAAAGAAGCCAGCAAAUGUACACUCCUAAUUUUCUAGAUCCUACAUUGACCCAGGCCAUUUUUCUCUACAACUUCACCUACAUUUAAUGAUUCUAGUGUGUCUAAAUACAGCCUACCUUAUACUCAACGCAUAUACCCCAAAUGAGAGAGGGGAAUUUCCUAAGUGGAAAACAAAAUAGAAAUCUUCAAAAACAUUCCUACAACAGAGGAUCGCCACUCACCCCAAACAGACAUUAAAGACUGGUAGAUGUAGUUACAAUCAAGCAAGAUCAAGAAUAUCCUUUGUAUCUUAGAUUAGAAAACAAAGCUUUAGAAGAGCCUCAAUUAUAGUUUAAAAAAUGCGUGAUUACUCAGUAUGGAUGACUACUCAACCAUAACUCUAUUAUAAACUUGAAAAUUUAAUAUUAAAACAAUUAACCAAAUAUUCUCCCCCCAUUGGUUAACCCAAUUUUUGACCACUCAGUGUUGAGGUUCAUUUACUACUAUGAUUUUUCAAAGACUAACUCAGAUGUAAUACUGUACUGUUUUUUCUUUCCACCACAUCAUACUUUCACUCAGAUUAAAGUAUAAAACUAGAAGCAGGGUAGGUGAUUUUAUAUGACAAAAUAUGAAACAAUGACUAUGACAGGCAUUAUGGCAUUUUCAUAUGUUUAUAUUUUUACUACUUAGCAAAAAAAUACUUAGAACUUCUCUAGUAACUCCUGAGUUGUAGAUUUUAUUUUCUCAUUGAAGCUGGAAAAAAGUAGUCCCAAAACCUAAAUUCAAAAUAAAACUAUGCAACAUAAUUUUUGAGUUGACAACUAGGCUUGAUUUAGAGAAAGUAAACAUAUUUUCACCUCUAUCAUUAUUCUUUUGAAUUUCUUAUGAGAUCGAGAAUGAAAAUGUAUAAUGGUACAAUAUUCUUCAUGUUAUAAACUCUUUCUCUACUGUACAGAAAUAUAUCUUAUAACUAUAUGUCACUUUACAGUAUUUAAAAAUAGUUUCACAUAAUCUCCUUUGAUAUAUGAAAGCACAAAAUAUUAGAAAUGUUCUAGACUAAUCAAGCGAUAUAACAUCUAUUUGCCAUGAAAUGCAAGUUAGUAUUUUAUCAAUAGCCAAUAUUUAGUAUCCUUGCACUCCACAGUACAACAAUAAAGAUUAUAUAUUUGUAAAGAUUCAGUAAUAUUUUUAGCUAUUUGGUCAUGCUUCACUGCAUUUUUUAUAACAGCUUCUCAAUGAAUUUCUGCAAGCAUAUCGUAGUUUUUAAAAUUACAAAACAUAGGAGUCAAACCCAGAGCACUGUUUCAUAUAUAAGACACACAUAAAUACAUAUCUAUAGAUCUUAUUUAAAAAACUAAUAUACAAAGCAUUAAUAGAAAAAAAUUCUAGACACUCAAUGUUUAUCUCCAAAAGGAAUGAUAUCCUUUUACUUGUUCUCCACUGAAUGAUUAUCUAAGUUAUUUAGGGAUUAAAUGUAAGAAACAUACUAUUAUAUAUGAAUAUGCAUUUAAAAACACCAUAGUGGGAAAAGGCCACUAUUUAAGAUGGAUGCCAGGAAGUGUUUCUCUUGAGACUAAAUAUUCUCGAAUUUAAUGUUACAAUCUAAUCAAAAUCCCUAAGUAGGAAGAAUAUUCUAAAAGUUAAGUUGCUAAAUGAAAUGUUUUUACUCAUAAGGGCUCUAAUAUACAAUUUCUAAGUAAUUCAAAUUACAUUCAUUGAUUUUAGUAUCUGGUAACUUUAUUAAUAUCAUAAUAUCUGGUCACAAUCUUUUACUAUUAUGCAUUUAGAAAGUUGUCUGAAUACUUUAUCAUGUAUAUAAAAUUGGUAAGUUAUUUUGAAUUAAAUUAUUUGUGUUCUACAAUUCAGCCUAAUUUGACAAUCGCUUCUCAUCCUCUAAACCCUGUAGAACUAUUUACUGAGCUCUACGGAGACACAGCUACAAGCACCACAUGCUGGACCCCUGAAUAUGGAGGGCCAACUACACUAGAAACACACACGCUAGCUGAGAAAGAUGGUGGCUUAAGGGUAAGCAUGGAAAGAGGCAAGGAGGUGAGGACAGCAGGACUGAUAGAUAAGCUGGGGAGGCCAGAGCUCCACAAGGACAUCCAUUUCACUUAUCAGAAUCUAAAAAUAAACACGUUGAGAUACUAGAAUCAAAGAAUCCAAAUUAGUUUCUGAACACAUUUGAAAAGAUCAAACUCUUACAGUUAAAAAAAAAAUUAAUCAGCCAGACAUGGUGGCUCAUGCCUGUAAUCCCAGCACUUUGGGAGGCCGAGGCGGGUGGAUCAUGAGGUCAGGAGUUUGAGACCAGCCUGACCAACAUGGUGAAACCCCGUCUCUACUAAAAAUACAAAAAUUAGCCAGGCGUGGUGGCACACGCCUGUAAUCCCAGCUACUCAGGAGGCUGAGGCAGGAGAAUCGUUUGAGUCCAGGAGGCAGAGGUUGCAGUGAGCCGAGAUCAUGCCACUGCACUCCAGCCUGGGCAACAGAGACUCCGUCUCAAAAAAUAAUAAUAAAAUAAAAUAAAGUAAAAUAAAGCCAUAAAUCAGGUAAAAGUGUAGCAAUCCAAUGAAAUUAUCCUCUUGAUUUCCUUCAUGUAGACUAUAAUGUCUCAAAAGAAUGUAUUUUGUAUACCAAAUACUACAUGGUAAUUUCUAGAUACUCUGAAAAUAUUCUCAAAGUAAUUAUUAUAUACAAAAUUUGAAAAUUCACAUCCUAAAAGCAUUACAGAAUACAUUCAUUUAUUGGGUCUUAUCUUAAAUCUCCUUAUUAGAUAUUCAAUUCAUUGUCAUCCAAAA